rnacentral:tRNA from 1 species
GCCUGGGUGGCUCAGUCUGUUAAGCGUCCGACUUCAGCUCGAUCAUGAUCUCACAGUCUGUGAGUUCGAGCCCCACCUCAGGCU